AAGACUUAACUUUCACAAAAACAAUUCAAAAGGGAUUUUAAUAUCCAACUUUCAACAACUUCAAAACAACUCAACAUAGUAGUUUUUAAACUUCAACGAAAUAAGUAAGUCAACAACAAACACAAUAAAAGAAAACAUCGUUCAACCCAGUUUUACAGAAUUAGAGCAUAGUGACUAAUAUAAAUGUGAUAACUAAUGAAAAUAACUCCAAUAGCUAUUUCCCACUCACAGCAGUAACUCUACUUCCCUUUCUUUUCACUAAUAUUCUUGUAGAGAGCAAAUCGGGCUCUGCUGUCAUCAUCGUGGAUUCUACACUUAUUCAUAAGUACAAAAAAGCAAUGAAUCUCCUAGUAACCAACAACUUAUUUGAUCUCGGGAUGCAAAUCACUCUCAAACUAGAUGCACUUCAAACCC
rnacentral:lncRNA from 1 species